rnacentral:rRNA from 1 species
GUCAAGGGGCCUUCGGGUCACUGGCGCACGGGUGAGUAACGCGUAGGUAAUCUGCCCAUAUCACAGGCAUAACGUCGGGAAACCGGCACUAAUAUCUGAUGAGGCCCAAGGGUCAAAGUGGAAACAUGGAUAUGGAUGAGCCUGCGUCUGAUUAGCUAGUUGGUGAGGUAAUGGCCCACCAAGGCGACGAUCAGUAGCUGGUCUGAGAGGACGAUCAGCCACACUGGAACUGAGACACGGUCCAGACUCCUACGGGAGGCAGCAGUGAGGAAUUUUGCACAAUGGGGGAAACCCUGAUGCAGCGACGCCGCGUGUAGGAUGAACUGGCUUUGCCAUGUAAACUACUGUCGGAUGGGAAGAAAAGUUCGCUCGGCGGACUGGGACUGUACCAUCAAAGGAAGCACCGGCUAACUACGUGCCAGCAGCCGCGGUAAUACGUAGGGUGCAAGCGUUGUCCGGAAUUACUGGGUGUAAAGGGUGCGCAGGCGGAUCCGUGCGUCAGAGGUUAAAUAUCCCGGCUUAACCGGGAAAGUGCCUUUGAUACGGCGGAUCUUGAAUAUGAGAGAGGAUGAUAGAAUUCCUGGUGUAGCGGUGAAAUGCGUAGAUAUCAGGAGGAAUACCGGUGGCGAAGGCGGUCAUCUGGCUCAUUAUUGACGCUCAGGCACGAAAGCGUGGGGAUCAAACAGGAUUAGAUACCCUGGUAGUCCACGCCCUAAACGAUGUAUGCUUGGUGUUAGACCCUCGAGGUCUAGUGCCGUAGGUAACCCGUUAAGCAUACCACCUGGGGAGUACGAUCGCAAGGUUGAAACUCAAAGGAAUUGACGGGGGCCCGCACAAGCGGUGGAUUAUGUGGUUUAAUU